rfam:Paenibacillus wynnii strain DSM 18334 unitig_3_1r, whole genome shotgun sequence.
AAAGUUUGACAGACAAUCGCCGGUGGUGUGAGAACGCCACGGGAGGAAAGUCCGGGCUCCAAAAGGCAGGGUGCUGGAUAACAUCCAGUCGGCGCGAGCCGAAGGAAAGUGCCACAGAAAUGGACCGCCGAUGGCCGCUCUUUAGGGAGCGGCACAGGCAAGGAUGGAACCGAGGUGUAAGAGACCCCGAGGAACGCUGGUGACUUCGUUCCUGGUAAACCCCAUCUGGAGCAAGACCUAAUGAGACGCCGCUGAUCCUUCACAGGAAGAGGCAGCCUUCGCCUGAGGCGCGUCUAGGUUGGUCGCUGGAGCUGUGCAGUAAUGUACGGCCUAGAUAGAUGAUUGUCGCUUAUGGUGGGAGGGUAGUUCCCGUUUGAACCACGACGAGCACAGAACCCGGCUUACGACAAACUUUCCUA